UACGUAGGAGGCGAGCGUUGUCCGGAAUUACUGGGCGUAAAGAGCGCGUAGGCGGUGUCGCAAGUCCGUGGUGAAAUCUCUAGGCUCAACUUUAGAGACUGCCGCGGAAACUGCGGUGCUUUGAGUGUGGGAGAGGUGCGUGGAAUUCCCCGGUGUAGCGGUGAAAUGCGUAGAUAUCGGGAGGAACACCUGUGGCGAAAGCGGCGCACUGGACCACAACUGACGCUGAGGCGCGAAAGCUAGGGGAGCAAACAGG
rnacentral:rRNA from 1 species